rnacentral:lncRNA from 1 species
AGCCCGCCGCCGGCCCGACCGCCGUGCGCCCUGGCGUGCGCGUGGGAGGGAGAGCCGCAGCCGUCGCUGGCGCCGCCCCGCCGCUGUCCGCUUCUCCUCAGCCUAGCGCUCAGCCGCGGCCGGACAAUUGAACACUGAUCAGAGGACUCAACUUUGAAAACCUGAAAAGUAGGACAGAAUAUGUGAAGAUUAAGAUAUAUAUACAGGUUCUUGGACUACAAUGGAAAGUAGAAAGAGACACUAGAAGUAUUUUAAGUUGUCAUUAGAUUUCUUCGGAGUUACUGUUGCCUUUUGAGCUGGCUUGAGGCUGUCCGUCAGACUGAACCGAGAAGGCAUCACUGGGUGUGAAGAUGUGCUGAGGGAGUUUGGAGUGGUAAAGUAGAGGAGAAUAAUUGAGAAAUGGUAAUAUGCAUACAAAAAGAUGUGCAACAUCAGUAAUCAUAAAGAAAUGUAAAUGCCCAUCACAUUGAGAUACCAUUGGAACCUUGUUAGACUGGCUAACAGUAAAACCGAACAGAUGGUGAGAGUGACAAGUGAGGAGGACAUGGAGCAGCUAGAACUCCUAUGCAUUGCUGCUAUGACUACUUUGGAAACUGAUUUGGCAGUUUUUUAAGGUGAAUCACACUACAAUACAGCACCGCAACCCUUCUCCUGAGUAUUUAUCCAAGAGAAAAUGUAUGUGUGCACAGAGACCUCUAUGUGAAUAUUUGUAGCAACUUUAUUCAUAAUCACUGAAAACUACUCAAAUGUCUGUCAACUAGUAAAUGGAUAAACAGACUUUGGUAUACUUGUACAGUGGAAGCCUAUUCAGCAAUUAAAAGGCAUUAAUUGCUGACCCAACUAAAUCAUUGUAUCUCCAAAACAGUUUACUAAGUGAAAACACAAAAUUUGACCUGAUUAUGAUUCUGUUUCUGUAACAUUUUGAUAAAUGCAAAUCUAAGAACAGGAAUCAGUGGUUACCUAGGGCACAGGGUAGAGUACUUGGUGUAAAAAGACAGGAGGGUGGGUACUUGUUGAGAUGUGGAGGGAGUCUGUCUUUAAUGUGGUAGAAUCUCCUCAGAUGAGUAUUAUCUGUCAAAGCUCAUGGAACUGAUUGCUCCUCAAGAAGCAAAACUUUAAAAACGUAAGGUGACGU